CAACAGGGAUUGCCCCAGUAACGGCGAGUGAAGCGGCAUGAGCUCAAAUUUUAAAUCUAGUCUCCGUCUGGUGGCCCGAGUUGUAAUUUGGAGAGGCACCUUCGGGGAGGGCGCCGGCCUAUGUUCCUUGGAACAGGACGUCACAGAGGGUGAGAAUCCCGUGCCCGGCCGGCCGUCCCACCCCCUGUGAAGGGUCUUCGACGAGUCGAGUUGUUUGGGAAUGCAGCUCUAAAUGGGUGGUAAAUUUCAUCUAAAGCUAAAUACUGGCGAGAGACCGAUAGCGCACAAGUAGAGUGAUCGAAAGAUGAAAAGCACUUUGAAAAUAGAGUUAAAAAGUACGUGAAAUUGUUGAAAGGGAAGCGCUUGAGACCAGACCCGGCCCGUGGCCAUCGUCCCGCCUUCUGGUGGGAGCGCUCGCCUCGGGUCGGGCCAGCAUCAGUUGAGGUGGUGGGAUAAAGUCCCGAGAAAUGUGGCUCCCUACGGGGAGUGUUAUAGUCCCGGGAACAUCCAAUGCCACCCUCCUCGACUGAGGACCGCGCUCCGGCUAGGAUGCUGGCGUAAU
rnacentral:rRNA from 1 species